AUCCAGCUGACGAGUCCUAAACAGGACGAAACGCGUGUCCUGGAU
rfam:Schistosoma margrebowiei strain Zambia genome assembly, scaffold: SMRZ_contig0012280